UUAAGUCGCUAUGAAAUAGUUACCAAGGAGCACCAGAAUAAAUAAACAAACAGUUUGAAAUAGUUGUGGAAUAAUUCCACCGAUUUGAAUUUUUGUAUCUUUUUUCCUGGAAGAAAAAAAUGGCCCCAGUACAACAAAAAUGGGAGUUUACGGAAUUUAUUGAUAUAGUUCUGAUAUGGGAAUGGGUCAUCCGUAUUUUCAUGAGCAAUUAUAGUUUAAAUCGUAAGGAUGCACUCUAUUUAAUAAACCAACAAUAACGACAGGCGAUCGAAAACGGAAAAAUUGAAAUUCCAAAUUUUAGUGGAAAUCUGGCUUAAUUCGCUAAGUCUUCCUUGAUACAGAAGCAAAUGAAAAACUAUCGUAAGACAUGUCCACUGAAUACCAAACGAAAUUAGGAAUAAAUUGAAGUUCAAAUCACUUUCGACUUCACGAAGACGCUAGUGUUAAU